GCGUAGAAGCCUCUGAUGGUGGGUCUGUUCGCCCUUUAAAAUCUAACAUGAGCUGAGUUCAGAACGGCGUGAGCUAGUUCAGUUUCUAUCCUCUUUUUGAAAUGAGCUAAUUUUGUACGAAAGGACUUUUUCGCUAAAGCAAUGCUUUGUCACAAAUCUGUGGUUGCAUAAAUAAUAGGGUAUAAUAGGUUGAUUAGCCUAUAGGAAGGGUUA
rnacentral:rRNA from 1 species